rnacentral:rRNA from 1 species
GGCUUAGGCUGUACCACCCUGAGUGUGCCCGAUUCUCAUCUGAUCUCAAGAGCUAAGCAGGGUUUGGCCUGGUUUGGAUGGGAAACCACAUGAGUGCUGUAAGCUUUAGCAU